UCCGAGUUGACCCCGGCAGUCUCCUAUGAGUCCCCACCAUCUCUGCGGCGGUCCGGUCCAUGUCAAGCCUUGGUAAGGUUCUUCGCGUUGCAUCGAAUUAAUCCGCAUGCUCCGCCGCUUGUGCGGGCCCCCGUCAAUUCCUUUGAGUUUUAGCCUUGCGGCCGUACUCCCCAGGCGGGGCACUUAAUGCGUUAGCUACGGCGCGGAAAACGUGGAAUGUCCCCCACACCUAGUGCCCAACGUUUACGGCAUGGACUAC
rnacentral:misc_RNA from 1 species